CCCAGCUAAUUUUUAUAUUUUUAGUAGAGACGGGGUUUUGCCAUGUUGGUCGGGCUAGCCUCUAACUCCUGACCUCAGGGGAUCUGCCUGCCUCGGCCUCCCAAAGUUCUGGGAUUACAGGCAUGAGCCACUGCGCCCAGCCCGGUCAGCAAUCUUCUUAAAGGUAGAAACCAUACUUUUCUUCUAUAAUACCAUUUUCAGGAGUGGCGCAAAAUAUGUUUUUAAGAAUUAUGCAAUUGAAUUGAAUUGAGCUACUUCCCGGAUUUAGAAUGACAAAUGCUUUCUCUCCAUCUGCUUAAGAAUGAACUGGCCUUCCCAUUUAGAGGCAAGCAUGCCCAACGCCCAAUGCUAGGCUUUCCCUGGAGAACACAGGACAGCUGAACGCUUGGGGAAGAAUUACUUCUGCUAUGGCACGGUUCUCUUGAGCAGAGAACUUUAAAGGGAUCAUUAUCUGCUUGUAAGGAAUGGAGGUCAGCAUGCCUGAAAACAGGAGUUGUGCAGAUAACCUUGCCAUAUUUAGAAUUCUAUGCCUGGAAACAGCGGAGAAGAUGCUGGUGGAUGUGGAUAUUAAAACCUCCCCCUGGGGGCUAAAAAGAGACAUCAGGAGAGGCUCAGGAUCAAACAAUAUCUCCAUAUGAAAUUAUUCCGGGUUGCACACUGCACCCAUGUGCUUACAGAGUCUACUCAACUCUUGGAUCUGGGCUCAGGCCUGACCAAUCAGAACAGUACAUUCCUGUGAUCUUAGUAAAGGUUGGAUAUCUAACCCAAUAAAAGCUUGCAAAAGGCGGAAAAACCUUUGCUGGAGCUGCUGGGAGAGAGGGAAAUGCUCUUUCUCGCUGGACUGGAAUUGGGGAUGAUGUGGAAGGAUGAAUGACUGCUAGAGCUGUUGCUGCCAUCUGCCUGCAUGGGAGAGCAUGUCUGACAACAAAACCAAUACCAAUACACAGGAAGUGAAGCCAAAGGCUGGAGAGAGACCAGCUCCAGGUGACAACAUUGGAGCCCCAGAAUCCGCCCAAAUCUUCUUUUAUUUAAGGAUUGGGUAUUCUUUCACUUGCAACUGAAAGAAGGGUAACCAAUAUCCACUGUCUGACAUAGCAGAAGAAACUGGCUCAGUAGGCAUCUCCUGCAGCCUCCAGCCCAGCUGUCUGGAUGUGAUGGUUUAGUAAAAGAACAGUAACUCCCUCAUAUUCCCCUCUCCCAUUUGAUCUGAUGGCCUGUGUCUACUAUACUUCACCAAAAGGAUAUGGUGCUGUGACAGAUGCAGAGGUAACUGAAACACAGCUCACAUUUUUCAUGGAGUUCUUGUAAGCAGGGGGGACACACCAUAGCCUAUUAUUUAAGGCAGAUUGAGAUGCAUGUCUUGGGAAAAGAACAAACAAGGUUUUUUUGAAGAUGCAAGGAAAGAAGAGCUCAUAUCUGAUUGGUGGGGACCAGUGGAUGCUUCAUGGAAAAGGGCUAUUUGGGAUGAGUCUUCAACGAUGAGAAUUUUAAUGGGCAGACAUGGGCAGGAGCCUUUGCAGGUAGAUGAAAUAGUGUGAUGAAGGUCAGGGAGGUGGGAAAGAUGAAGUGAACAUUGAAAAGUAGAGUUGGACUGGAAGACAGGGGACAUUUAGGGGAAUCACCAGCCUGCAAAGUAAGUUGGUGUCAUCUAGGAAGAUGCCUCUAAUGAGAAGCUUGUUCUUAGUCCAGUAGGUGAUGGGGAGUUAUUGAACAUUCUUGAGCAGGGAAGUGGCCUCAUUGGUGCUACUCUUGAGGGGCCUGAGAUGGAGGUGGGGAGAGAUCCAGUGUGGAAAAACCACUGAGGUGGGAUUGGGAGGUAACCUUGACUCAUCCACAGGAUGGGGAGAAAGCCAGGGAAGGAAAGGCAGGGAGUGAAAACAGGAAGUAGUUCUGGUUUCUCUUCAUUCAUACCUCAAGAAGUGAGGUUUCUAAAGCACAAAGUUCAAAAGUCACAAAAGGAAAGUUUGAUAUAUUUAAUUACAUAAGAAUUAAAAAUUUCUACAUGGCAAAGUGCUUUAAAUGAAGUGAAAAGACAAGGACAGAUUGGGGAAAACAUUUGCUACACAAAUGACAGAGGAUUAAUUUCCUAAAUACAUAAAGAGCUUUUAUACUGCAGAAAGAAAAAAUAACAGCUAAUGGAAAAAUGGUCAAAGGAUAUGAAUAGACAGUUCACAGGAAAAAAUGCAAAUGGUCAUUAAACAUAUGAAAAAAAUAAUAACUUAUAUAGAGCUUUAUGUUUGUUUAUACAUUUAAUUUUCACAAUAACUAUAUGAAAAAUGUUAUUCUUCUGAUAUCUUUUUACUGAUAAGGAACCAAAACCAUAGAGAAGUUAAGUGCAUUGCCCACAGUCACUCAACUAAUAAGCAGUUGGGUAGGGAUUUGAGCCCAGGGACCAGUUUGUUCUCUCAAGCACUUCCUGUUCACACUCAUCUAUUCUACAAGACAUCCAGGACAGGUGUGGUGACUCGUGCCUGUAAUCCCAGCACUUUGGGAGGCAAGGAUUGCUUGAGGCCAGUAGUUCAAGACUAGCUUGAGCAACAUAGGGAGAUCUUGUCUCUACAAAAAAUAAAAAAAAUUAGCUGGGUGUGGUGGUGCACGCCUGUAGUACCAGCUACUUAGGAAGCUGAAGCUGCAGUGAGCAGUGAUUGCGCUGCUGAACUCCAGCAUCAGUGACAAAAUGAAACUCUGACUCAAACAUAAAUCCAAAACAAAACAAAAAUCCCAAAGAAAGAAAGAAAAGGAUUAAAACUACACCAAAACACCAUUCUUUAUAAAAAUCACAUUGGCAAAAAGCAAAAUGUUUGGUGGAAGGUUGAUAAAACUGUUGAGGAAACCAAGACUCACAUAUUGUUGGUACAAGUGAACUGGAACACCAUUUUGUAGGGCAAUUUGGCAAUAUUUAUCAAGAUUUUAUUUUAUUUAUUCUAAGAGACGGG
rnacentral:lncRNA from 1 species